rnacentral:sRNA from 1 species
UAUAUCAGCGUAUUGAAAACAUAUUUCGU